CCUACGGGCGGCAGCAGUGGGGAAUAUUGCACAAUGGGCGCAAGCCUGAUGCAGCCAUGCCGCGUGUGUGAAGAAGGCCUUCGGGUUGUAAAGCACUUUCAGCGGGGAGGAAGGCGUUAAGGUUAAUAACCUUGUCGAUUGACGUUACCCGCAGAAGAAGCACCGGCUAACUCCGUGCCAGCAGCCGCGGUAAUACGGAGGGUGCAAGCGUUAAUCGGAAUUACUGGGCGUAAAGCGCACGCAGGCGGUCUGUCAAGUCGGAUGUGAAAUCCCCGGGCUCAACCUGGGAACUGCAUUCGAAACUGGCAGGCUAGAGGCUUGUAGAGGGGGUAGAAUUCCAGGUGUAGCGGUGAAAUGCGUAGAGAUCUGGAGGAAUACCGGUGGCGAAGGCGGCCCCCUGGACAAAGACUGACGCUCAGGUGCGAAAGCGUGGGGAGCAAACAGGAUUAGAUACCCCGGUAGUC
rnacentral:rRNA from 1 species